CCGGCCACCGAUCCUCACCAAACUUCUUCCAUUGGCUUCGUAUGGUCCUUGCGCACCUGUCUGUGGCAGCCUUUCACGGCGGCGCGGCCUGUAGCGGCGGCGGCAAGCCCGGUCCGAUUUAAGCUCGAUUUUGGUCAACGCCGGUUUUCUCCUAGCUCCGGCCACCAAAACUUCCGAUCCUUGGCUCCAUGAACUCCCCUCAACCUGCUGAUCAUCAUACUAGGAGGAUUGCACCUAGAGUGACCGGUUUCACGUUCGUCGGAGCUCGUGGGUUCCCCUUGAUGUUAUUAACAACUCUCUAGAAGGCAUCGAGGCCUGAAAUUGAAGCUUUGACGUCGAAAUCGAGCCUUGCCGGAUUCUGCAAAAUUCUGGAAUUUUUCCGACCACCGAAGCUUUCGAUCGGUAUAUCUCGAGCUACAGACCAUAUUUUUCUGUGAUUCUUGAACCAGUGAGUUCUUCUUGAGUUUCUUAACAACUCUUCAGAAGGAAUCGAAGCCUUAAAUUGACGUUUUUACGUCGAAUUGGAGCUCGCCGUUUUCUGCAGUUUCUCGCCGGUUUCUGGAAAAUUCCGGCCACCUUCAUACUGUUCAAGGUGAUUGACGGUUUGAGUUGGCGGACGAUUGUGAAUCGUAUUUUGAGCUGUUAAGAAGACGCAGCGGGAUUAGAGGUGAGUAAACCUCACGUGGUUCAUAUUACGAACCGAAUAAAUUUAAUUACUUUAUUUUGUCGUAAUUGUGUGAAAAU